rnacentral:rRNA from 1 species
AUACGGAGGAUCCGAGCGUUAUCCGGAUUUAUUGGGUUUAAAGGGUGCGCAGGCGGCCAUUUAAGUCAGCGGUUAAAUCGUGAGGCUCAACCCCAUUCUGCCGUUGAUACUGGGUGGCUUGAUUGCGGUCGAGGUUGGCGGAAUUCGUUGUGUAGCGGUGAAAUGCAUAGAUAUGACGAAGAACACCGAUUGCGUAGGCAGCUGACCAGACCGCAAAUGACGCUCAUGCACGAAAGUGCGGGGAUCGAACAGGAUUAGAUACCCUGGUAGUCCGCACAGUAAACGAUGAAUACUUGUUUUCGGCGAUAUAAUGUCGGAGGCAAAGCGAAAGCGAUAAGUAUUCCACCUGGGGAGUACGCCGGCAACGGUGAAACUCAAAUGAAUUGGCGGGG